CCAAAUCUGCUUGCUUUAGUAGUGUGGCACUUGCUUUCUGUGCCUUGCGGAAGCCCUCUGUUGUGCUGUGUGUCUGUCUUCUAUAUCAACUGAGGAAAGCUUGUCUCUGAUAAAAGUCCCUGGUUUGAUGAUCUCAAUGAGAUCCUCCUAUCCGUCUUAAGGCAACAUCUGCCUGCUCAAUGCCUGCCAUUUCAGUGACUUCCAAGCUUGCCUGUGCUAUUGAAGUG